rnacentral:misc_RNA from 1 species
GUGAAGAACGUAGCGAAAUGCGAUAAGUAAUGUGAAUUGCAGAAUUCAGUGAAUCAUCGAAUCUUUGAACGCACAUUGCGCCCCCUGGUAUUCCGGGGGGCAUGCCUGUCCGAGCGUCAUUACAACCCUCAAGCUCAGCUUGGUGUUGGGCCCCGCCGCCCCGGCGGGCCCUAAAGUCAGUGGCGGUGCCGUCCGGCUCCGAGCGUAGUAAUUCUUCUCGCUCUGGAGGCCCGGUCGUGUGCUCGCCAGCAACCCCCAAUUUUUUUCAGGUUGACCUCGGAUCAGGUAGGGAUACCCGCUGAACUUAAGCAUAUCAAUAAGCGGAGGA